AGAGUUUGAUCAUGGCUCAGAUUGAACGCUGGCGGCGUGCCUAACACAUGCAAGUCGAGCGGUAACAGGUGUAGCAAUACGUGCUGACGAGCGGCGGACGGGUGAGUAACGCUUGGGAAUCUGCCUGUUAGUGGGGGACAACCCGGGGAAACUCGGGCUAAUACCGCAUACGAUCUACGGAUGAAAGCCGGGGACCGCAAGGCCUGGCGCUAACAGAUGAGCCCAAGUCGGAUUAGCUAGUUGGUAGGGUAAUGGCCUACCAAGGCGACGAUCCGUAACUGGUCUGAGAGGACGACCAGUCACACCGGAACUGAGACACGGUCCGGACUCCUACGGGAGGCAGCAGUGGGGAAUAUUGGACAAUGGGGGCAACCCUGAUCCAGCGACGCCGCGUGGGUGAAGAAGGCCUGCGGGUUGUAAAGCCCUUUCGGUUGGGAAGAAAAGUUGCGACCUAACACGUUGUGACCUUGACGUAACCAACUAAAGAAGCACCGGCUAACUCUGUGCCAGCCGCCGCGGUAAUUC
rnacentral:rRNA from 1 species